CCUUUUAGGGCCGCACCAGUGACACAUGGAGGGUCCCCGGCUAGGGGUCCAAUCCCAGCUGCAGCCGCUGGUCUACACCACAGCCACAACAAUGUCAGAUCCACCCAAGCUGCGUCUGCGACCUAUACCACAGCUCACGGCAACACUGGAUCCCCAACCCACUGAGCGAGGCCAGGGAUUGAACCCGCAACCUCAUGGUUCCUAGGUGGAUUCGUUUCCACUGCGCCAUGACGGGAACUCCUAAACUUUUUUUAAAGUAGACUGUUUUUUUGUUUUUUGUUUUCUCUUUUCAGGGCCGCACCUGCGGCAUAUGGAACUUCUGGGCUAGGGGUGGAAUUGGAGCUGCAGCUGUGGGCCUCCACCACAGCCACGGCAACACCAGAUCCGAGAUGCAUCCGUGACCUGCACCGAAGCGUGCAGAGCCUUAAUCCACUUUGCCAAGGAUGGAACCCGCGUCCUUAUGAACGCUAGUCGGGUUCUUAACUCGCUGAGCCACAGUGAGAAUAAAGUAAGUAGACUUUAUUUUUCAAAACAGUUUCAGGUUCACAGCAAAACUGAGCACAAAGGACGGAAUUCCCACAUAACCUACUCCGACCCAAGUUCAGCCUCCCCCAUCAUCCACGGCCAGCACCAGAGUGGUCUGUACACUGGUUGUAUUCGAUGAAACUACACUGACACGUCAUGGUCACCCAUUCUCCACAGUUUACACUGGGGCUCACUCUGGGUCUCGUAUGUUCUAUGAAUUUGGACACAUGUUUAAUGACAUGUCUCCACCAUUAAAGGACCUCACAGACUAGUUCCACGGCCCUAAGAAUUUUCUGUGCAUCCCCUGUUCAGCCCACCCUCCUCCCUGACCCCUGCCAUCCGGUCAUCAUUUUUCCUGCCCCCAUAUGUUUGCCUUUUCCAGAAUUGGGUAUUAAAUUCUUAGGUUCAUGUUUUGUUUUCUCUCUCAGGACUCUGUAAACAUGGGUUCAUGGUAUCUUGCCUUGCAUGUUACUAUAAAGAAAUGUCAAUCCAGCCUGAUAUUUGCUCCUUGUAGAUGAGUUUGUUUUCUGCCUGGAUGCCUAUGAGAUUCUUUCUUUUGCUUGGUAGUCAGAACGUUUUCCAGAAUGUAGGCAUGUCAAUUUUUCGUUUUUAUUUGCAGAUGUUUUUAUCUUCCUUUAGUUCAGAAUAAAUUCUUCUAUUCUAUCUUUGAGUACUUUUUUCUGAUACACUUGUCUGCUUUCUACUUCAGGAACACCUGGUAGGUAUGAGAAGGACUACCUACCAUCUUCGUUCUAAGUGCUUUAAAUUGCUUGGUCUCCUUGUCAUGCCUGCCUUCCACACCGUCCCCUGGUUUUCCAUAGCGCUUCUUCUAUGUCUCACUGCUUCCAAUGCGGUUUUCAUUUCUGUACUGUUUCAUUAUCCUCCACUUUUCCCCCCGAGUUCUCGUAGUCCAAGUUCAGUGGUUUAGCUGAAAACGUCUUCUGUCACCCGGGUUGAUCAUUAUUCAUCCAUGUACUUUUCAUCUGCCUUUCUUGCUUGUCCCUUUUUAACUUGUUCUCUGCAGUAUAUCGGUAUGGUUUCCACACUGGAUCUUUGCUACUUAUUACGCGUCUUCGAGUGGGUGCUCAGCUCCAAGUCAGCUGAUAGUGCAGAAGGGGGGAGGGGAGGGAUCCCCGCGCGGAUAUCUGGGGACUUCAGAUGGGACCUCUCAGAAUUCUUUACCAAGUGUGCUUCUUCCCAUCAAGAUAAACAGGUCACCCGCAGGUGGUCUACAGGGUGGAGCCCCCCAGCUCACACUUUUUUCUUUGUGUUAAGGAGACCCUCUGUUCCCCGAGCUUCACAAUCCCUCGAGGCCUCUGCAGAGUCCUAAGAUUCCCACCCUCUCUCUGUCGCUUGCCUGCCUUUUCCUGGGGAGGUGGGGGGGUGCCUGCUCGGGUUAGUAAGCACGGGAGAAAGCCUGGAGCAUGUUCAGAUAACCUUUUCUGGCCUGUCUUUUUCCUUUUUUUUAUUUUUUGCUUUGUAGAGCCACACCCGUGGCAUAUGGAGGUUCCCAGGCUAGGGGUCUAAUCGGAGCUGUAGCCCGCGGCCUACAUCACAGCCACAGCCACGCGGAAUCUGAGCUGCGUCUGCGACCUCCACCACAGCUCACGGCAGGACCGGAUCCUUAACCCACUGAGCGAGGCCAGGGAUCGAACCUGCAUCCUUAUGGUUCCUAGUCAGAUUCGUUUCUGCUGAGCCACUGCAGGAACUUCUGGCCUUUUGCAGAUUUGCCUUCCCACAGAGACCUGCAAUCCUGGUCUGUGUGGACGUGAGGGAAACGAGUUGGGACAGGAUCUGGGACUGGGGUGGGGAGGAGUCUGGGACUCAGUGCGUGAGUGUAAUUCUGGGCUGCACUAUUCAAAAGCUCUUUGCUGCUACACAUCUAUGCCAUGUGCUGUAAUAUGUCUAUAAUAAAGCUGACAGUAUGUUCAAUUAUCAUCUGUGUCUUAUCUACCCCAAACCUAGGGGAAAAUGAAAGGGGUAUUAUUUAUUAGUCCCUAAAGCCCUUAACAAACUGGUGAGUUGGCAGGAACCUUGAGAAGGAUAAAGGUGAGACUCUAGAGGCCAAAGGAACACGUGGAGAUUGAGGCUUCUGGGGAGGCAGAGCCGGUGCUGUUAGGUGUUAAGGCUCUAGUAAGUGUGAACUAGGUGGGAUUUUGACCUUGACAGCUCAAAGCAGCUUAUUGCCUUCAGAAGAACAGCUGUCAUUAUAGCCACAGGAGUGUUUUAACAGGCCUUUGUGAGCAGGAGUUCUUAAGAUUAUUUUACUGUAUGCAUCGGUCUUGCUGUGCAAAGAAAGUGAGAGGCAAGGCAGUUUGCUCUCAGAAACAAUAGGGAAACUGCCCCAGAGUUUCCAAGUCAAACAGCUGCUGUGGCUGUGGGGGUUUGCCUGUGCCCUUGGGCCAAGUCAGGAACAAAGUUAGGACACCAAGGAAGACACAGGAGGGUAAGGCACUCUGAGGGACCAAGAACACAAUAGGUCAAGGCAGGCCUGGCUUAGAUUCAGGGUUUAUUUGCAAAAUGCUUUUCCAAGUGAAAAGAUCUGACUCAGAGAGGUGAGAGUUGACAAGAUUUGUUUGGACAAUGGUUGCUUUUGGCCAACCCAUGAAACCCUGACUUCAUUUCGUUCACUGAGAUGAGAAAAAAAAAAAAAAAAAAAAAUCUCUGCUGGAAAAAUAAGUAUCUGACCCAGAAAACAAGGACAAAGUGAAAGGGGAAAAGUCCAGCAAAAACACCAGCCUUACAUGGAGUGGGGGAGGAAAGGGAAAAACUUUAAGAACUUGAUAAAACCAGGAACCCAUGAACAGCUCAACUGAGAGGACAGUACACAAGUAAAACACUAGAAGCUCCUCUGGUACUUGAGAAGAUUGAGCAGGAUGACCUGCUCCCCUCCAGGGGGGCUGCCAGGAUCAAAGGCUGUGGGAAGACCAUCUCUGGGGGGCGGGGCCGUCAAGCAGGUGCAGGAGCAACAGGAGGAACAGUCACAACAGCUUCAGCUCAGAAACCUGCUGAGACUGACCCUCAGGCAGAAAAGAACACAAGCUCAAGAGAGAAGCCUCCUCAGGAAGCAGGAGUCCCAGGCCUGAGCAGCUGGGGUUGGGGUGGGGGCAGGGGGCAGUGGCAGAAAUCCCCGAGGCACAGGACUGGGAAAAGCCCACUCACAGGACAGUGUGUAGAGAGAGCCACAAAAAGGAGCUCAGGAUGGCAAUGCAACUCAGGAGGUUACUGGCAUGUUCCCUCCCUUUGCUCUUUCUUUUUCUCUCUCUCACAUGCAUACACACACACACACACACACACACACACACACACACACAGGGAAGGAAAGGUGCCACAAAUAAAAUCUGGAACCUAGGAUAUUCCUGCUGU
rnacentral:lncRNA from 1 species